rnacentral:misc_RNA from 1 species
GAUGAAGAACGUAGCGAAAUGCGAUAAGUAAUGUGAAUUGCAGAAUUCAGUGAAUCAUCGAAUCUUUGAACGCACCUUGCGCCCUUUGGCUAUUCCGAAGGGCAUGCCUGUUUGAGUAUCGUGAACACCUCAACUCUCAUGGUUUGCCAUGAUGAGCUUGGACUUUGGGGGUUUUGCUGGCCUUUGGUCGGCUCCUCUCAAACGGAUCAGCUUUCCAGUGUUUGGUGGCGUCACUGGUGUGAUAACUAUCUACGCCUGUGGUUUUCUGCCAGAUAACCUUCAGCGAUGGAGGUUCGCUGGGGCUCAUAAAUGUCUCUCUUCAGUGGAGACAGCUUUUUGGACGUUUGAUCUCAAAUCAGGUAGGACUACCCGCUGAACUUAAGCAUAUCAAUAAGCGGAGGA